UGGCUGUUGGCUCAUAUUAUUAUUGAUUUUGACAAUUUUCUUACAGCCCUUGUCUGUCAAAAUAAUGCAACCUCUGGUUGUAAAGCACAUUUUAAACUGAUCUUCUUCAUUCUGUCACUAGCCCACCACAAUCCAUGUUUACCAGCUGUGAAAGUGCAGGCCAAAAAUCUUCCUUCACCUGUGGGCCUCUACCCACAUGUAGAUAAGCACUUCAGGAGAAACCUGCCUGUGAUCUGCUAAGAUGCACAGAUUCAACUCUGGCCCAUUGUCAUCCCAACACCUCAUCUGCCAUCAGUUUCGUUUAGUGUUGGUCUAUUGCAAAAGUUCUUACUUUAAAUGAGACUUUGUGUUAAGCAGGGGUUUCCAAACUUUUCAUUCCACAACAUAUUAAGCCCAGGAUACACAGCAGGAUUUUUGCAAUCCAAUAAGACCUUAUCACACUGUGUGACAAGGAUGGUUUAAACUUCAGCAGUAGACUGUCGAUGAAGACACCUAUUGCAUCUGAAGCUGCGACAUCUGUCAUCAACAUGCGCUAGUGGUAAACAAAUACAGGUAUGCAGGUCGUAGAAGCAAACACAUUGUUGAUGUGCGAUGAUCAUGCUGAACUUCUUACACUGUCAUAAAACUAUCAUAGGUGUCUUUGGUCCCAGGACUGGGAAAACAGACGUCUUUAAACCUCUCACACUGUAUGAGAUAGGACCACCAAUUAAGAGCCACGAUCACAGAAAUCUCCACGAUUGUUUCACGAUUGGUAAUCUUUCAUCUGGGACAGCCAAAAAUCGUGCCGUGUAUUAUGGGCUUUAGACAGGUGUAAUCUUAUAGUAUAUCAAAACCAUUGCUAAUAAUUAAUUGGACAAACCAUCACUACAAUGCAACACUCACUAUCUUACGGUGCGACCCACAAGUGGGUCUUCACCCACAGUUUAAAAACCCUGAGAAUGAGAAAGAGUAUGUUGUAUUGUAAUUAAAGUCACAUCUAAGUGUUAUGGAGCAGUUUGUCAUUAUAUUCACAGUAUUACAUGGUUCUUUCAGCAGUUACUAUGUUACAGUGCUCUUAAAGUGUCCUGAUCAGCUUUGGGUCUUGUGAAGUAAUGUAAUGAGAACGUGAUCAAUAGCUUUGCAGUAUUUUGUUACACUGUGGCUGUAAUCAUAUUAACACAUAGGUUAAACAUUUUAUUCAAAUUUGGUAAACAAACUAGUCAAUAUAAUUCAUGCUGUGAUGCUGGAUUAAACCUGGUCAAAUGAU